rnacentral:lncRNA from 1 species
GGCAUCACUAGGGAGAUGAUGAAGAAGGGUAGCCAACACACAAUAAAGGCUCCCAAAAUGAUCCCUAGGGUCUUGGUGGCUUUGCGCUCCCUAGCGGCCAUGAGUUUCUUCUUUUCCAGCAGAGCGUCGGAGACUCGCACUUUGACUUGGUUCACAUACACAGGAGACCCGGAUUCGCUGGGCACGUCGGGAACCCGCGAGUUAAUAGAGGUGACCGAGGACGUGGACCCGGGGGAGUCGGUUAUCAGCUGGGCUCGGGUCAAGCGCUUGCCGGUCCUGUUGGGCGUCUGUUUCAAAAUCCGGGAGCGGGCUUCUACGUAGAUGCGGCCAUAGAGGGCGAUGAGGAGCAGGGUGGGGAAGUAGAAAGCACCCACCGUGGAGUAGACCGUGUAGAGGAUGUGGUCGGUGUUCACCACGCAUUCCGACACCUCCUCUUCGGCCUUGGCCUGACGCCAGAAGAAGGGCGGUAGCGAGAUAGAGAUGGAGAAGACCCACACCAGCGCGAUCAUGACCGCCGCCCUCUUGGGAGUCCUUUUAGCUGAGUACUCCACGGCGUCCGUGAUGGCCCAGUAGCGGUCCAGGGCGAUGACACAGAGGUGCAGGAUGGAGGCAGUGCAACAAGUGAUGUCCGACGACAGCCAGAAGUCACAGACCACCUGGCCCAGUGUCCAGCGGCCGGUGACAGUGUACAUGGUGCUGAUGGGCAUCACCAGGAUGGACACAAGCAGAAGGCAUUGGAGAGCGUGGUGGCCAAGGUGAUGAGCGCCAAUAGCAUAACCAGCAGUACUUUCCAGGGUAGGGCGAUGGAGUCCUGGUAAAUGUAGUCCUUGGCGCUGCAGUUUUGGGAG